UAAGAUGAAUUUUCAGUGUCUAAUUGUGUAUACCACUAAAAAAUUAUGUGGUUGUUUUUGCUUCUCCAUAUGAAACUUAGACUUAUUUGUUAAAUUCCAAUAUAAAUUCUAGUGGAAUUUUCAGUUCCACUAGAAAUCAUCCUUUGCAGUAUGAUUUCUAAUCAAUAGUAGCAUUUGUAUCUCUCUGUAUUAAAGUCUUUUUUUCUGUCCUUUAGUGAAAAUAUUGUACUUUCAUUCAUAUAAACACUUACUGAUAUUUUCUGGCUGUUUGCAUUUUAUCCUUGUCUCAGGUCUAAGUGGAUAUUAAGGCAAAUGCUUACUAUUGCUAUUUUACUAGACAUUUUUAAACUAGAAAUGAAUAUUAAAAUAUUUUUAAGACUUUUUUUUGGUCAUUUGUUGGAAUUAUUUUCCCUGUUUUUUUGACUUGUUACUUUAGGGAUUGAAUUUAGAAUAUCUUGACACUUAAAUGCAUUUUCUGAACAAAUCUUUUUAUAGUAUUUUGUGUUAUUACAAGAUUCUUACUGAUUUAGUAAUAUUGAAGAUUUUGUAUUUAUAUUAAUAUGAAAAAAUUAAUCUUUCAGGGUGUUCAGCCUUUGGCAUUGUUUUAUGCUGGAUUCUUGCCCAAUUUGCAAACCAUUCCAUCUUUUUCAGUGCUCUAGAAGGUGAGAAGUUUGAAAUAAUUCAUCUGAGAGUGGGUUUUGAAGUGGUAGUCCUUAGAAAAUAUAUUUUUUUGUCUUUUUAGGGCCAUACCCAUGGCAUAUUUUGGUUCCCAGGCUAGGGGUCUAAUCGGAGCUCUAGCCACCGGCCUAUGCCACAGCCACAGCCGUGCCAGACCUGAGCCGCGUCUGUGACCUACACCACAGCUCACAGAGCGAGGCCAGGGAUUGAACCCACAACCUCAUGGUUCCUAGUCGGAUUUGUUUCCACUGCGCCACAACAGGAACUCCCUAAAGAUUAAAUAGACUGAAAAAUGUUUUUGGUGAUUACUAGCUUAUUUAGGCUUUGUAAUGCUUUUAGUUACUUUGGUAACUUACACUGUAUCAGGAAAUAUAUGAGAUUUUGAUAUUGUUGAAUGUGUGGUGUUACUGUUUCCCUUGUCUAACAUGCUCAAUUAGUGUUUUAUCUCUUUUAAUUAGAUUAGAAGCCUGAUGCUUUAAAAUCUCUCUAAAUUAUACUUAUGACCAUAUCACCCAUCUGUGUGCAGCCCCUGAACCUCCGUGAUAAAAUUUAGAGUAUCUUAUGGGGCAGGCAACGAGGCCUUCGGUAUUGACCGCAGCCUGCCUUUCCAACCACAGCUCUAGCUUGAUUUUCUCUCCUGUUUUCCCACACUACCAAGAAACACUUGCAACAUUCUGUCUCCUCUGCCUGGGAUGUUGUCAGCCUAAAAACACUACUUAUUCUCCAAGACCCCUGCAGAAUGUUGCUUCUUUUAAGCCUUUGACAAGCUGCCUGUUGUCUCUGUCUCCUGUCCCUUCUCUGUGCCCCAUAACAUUUUGCUUAGACUGUGGUGUGCUUUGAUUAUACUGCAUUAAGUUUGCAUAUUUAGAACCCCUCCUUGUUUUUUCCUCCACCCACUCUGCUAAUAGAGGCCCUGGCACGUGGGCAUGGGGAGAAUAUUUGUGGGAUGGGUGUGCUAUGGGACAGGCUGUGUGUGUGCACCUUAGGCUGGCAGUCUCAUUAUUUGUCCUCAGCCCUGAGCAGAAGUGGGUGCUUGUUAAAUGUUUCCAAGUGAAUGCUGGGUGAGUAGGGCGGGCAUGAUAUAUUCAGGGAAUCAGAAGUCCAGCGGGGCUGGACCCUGGCAGGAUUAGUGGAGAGGAGUAGUGGGAGAUAACUUUGGGACAUGUUGUCACUCACAUUUUAUGAGUGGGGGGAAUACAGAAAGCAAAGAACAGGUAAAAAUGGGCUGUUUCAAUAAGAUAAUCUAGUGCUCUUUGGUGGUUAACACAGAAGUGUGUGUCUUUUACAACUCAAUCUACAGGAAAUGAUGUCUGUGUUAAGGUAACACAGAUAUGUCUAAACAUUCUCAUCACGUCUAAGUCACUUGCUCAUUUGCUGUAGUGUAAUUUCAUCAAAAUGCUUAUAAAAAAUUUAGACAAUUGUCUGAACUCCAAAGCUGUUUAGACAGAGAACACUUAUGAGACUAUGCUUUUCCUCCUUCUUCCUUUGGGGGGGGAGCUGAUUGUGGUCUUUAAAGAUCAAGGCUAUUUUAUAGGUUCCCUUGUUCAGAUUUAUUGUAAGCAUGAGCUGCAUCAGUGAGCAUAUUUGGGUGGAAGGGAACCCAGUAAUGACCCAGUCCAAGUGGUUUGGUUAAGUUGGCCAUCAACAUGUACAGAUAGGGAAUGUGCAAUUUUUCCAUCAUGGACUCUUUUUAGACUUCUGACUACAGUUUGAAAGUAAUAUUUUAGCCAAGGCUUUGAGCUUUUUUUGUAGUUAGGUCAUUUGCCUCUUAGUUUGCUAGGAUCAUUUAGAUGAAAGAAGGCUGUUGUUGGAGGAAGAUGUCCAGAAUUCAUAACAAAGUGUUCUUUAACUGAAUGAAUUAUCUAAUAGUUACUAUUCUGUACUUCUUGUAUGAAUGUUGGGGGUGAGGGAGGUCAGAUAUAUGUGACAUUUGUAUAUUAUGUAUUUGCAGGUGAUAGAAAAAAUGGGGCCAAAGAAGGAAAAAGACCAAACUGAUUUUAGAUUGCUAAGCUUUCUUUUAAUCUGGUGUUCUGUGAAUUUGAUUCAUAGCUACUUAAGGAGAUAAAUUCAUCAUUUGACCACUGUAAGAUUUCUUCACUACUGUCCCAAAGGCCCCAAGAGCUUCCCAAAUAAGCUGGAGGUAGCUGUUAUUACCAGUUUUAUUGGUGACUAUCAGAGUACUUGUCCAAAGAUAAAACAGCCUAUAUUGAGAAAUAUGUAGUAUGAGCUGGAUAACUAUUUGGAAGGCAUGAUGUAAAAGGAAUUCAGGUACAAGAUAAUAAGGUAACUUUAGUCUAGCAUGACCGUUUUUUUUUUUUUUUCAUUUUAAAAAGUUUUUUUGAAGUAUAGUUGAUUUACAAUGUUGUGAUAAUUGCUGUGUAACAAAUUGAUCAGUUAUACAUGAUGUACACCUAUACAGUUUUCCCACAUCCUGUAUUUAUGUAUAAAAAUACAGUUUAUGGGAAAACUGUUCAGGAAGCAGAAUUCCAAUUGACUCUACAAUGUUCAAAGGCCAGAGAAUGAAUUAAGCAUUUCCAUGUCUCCGGAACCUAACGUAGUGCAGGGUAUUAUGCAGGUAAGCAAUAAAUGUGUUUGGAAUUAGAUCUUACAAUGUCAUACUCCAAGGAAAUUUGUAAAGGCUGACAUACUGAGGCUGUGCUUGCAAAUAUGAAGUGCAAAUUGGAAUUAAUUAUCCUAGUCUUUUUUUAGGGAAGUACUUUCUCUUGUCAAUCCAGAUGAGUGAUGCAAAAGCACCUUCUGGAUUUGAUUGAGCUAGAUAAUUCUUGACUUUGCUCAAGCCUUUAAACUGGUGGGAGCUUUAAUGGAUAUUAAUUAGUGUGAAAGCUUUUUAUUCUUUGAGGGUCCUUUUUUUUUUUUUCUGAAAGAGAAAUCUAUCUUGAUUGACAGAUGGAUCCCUCUGUUUCAUGUUUUAUUGUUUUUGAAGAAAAGGGCUUUGAUUUCCUGCCAGGGAGCUUUCAUAAAAGGACCUUAGCAUGCUGAGCCCUGAUUAAAUAUCAGGGAGAGGUGAUGAUUCUUUUGUAUAGCUCUUUCCUGGAAGGUGAAGAGGCCAAAAUUACAAUGACUCCAAGAGAGAGAUCUGCUAUAGGACCACAUUCAGCUAUAGGAAAAAUCAACCGUUGCAUAGACAGCAAUACGAUUGAGAUGCAAAUGCCAUUUGCCCCUAUUUUAUGAAUACUUCAAAAAAGUGUGUAGAAGAAGGGGUCAUAAUGAUUCUUUAGAGGAGAGGAUAUCAGGUUUUAUAUAAUGCUGUAGAGUCUCGACCUAUAUAAUUGAGAACUUUUUACAAGGCAAAAUAGAUUUUUAUUUAAGGUUCCUGCUAAUUUUAGCAAAUUUACUUUGCGUAACAAGUGUUUGUCUAAAUUAAACUCACCUUGUUUUGGAUUUACUAAGUUUGCUUCUGAAUCUUUUAUUGUGGCAGUCAUAUUUAUUAACCUUGUCUCCCCAAAUCAAUUAUGAAACACAAUUUGUCAACACACAAACAAAGCUGGCUUAUGAACAAGGUUGAGUAUCAGAGAGAGUGGAGUCCCUGAAGUUAUAGUAACCUCAGGUUUAAUCUUCAGAUUUUAGCCUGUGGCUAUGCCACUUAACUAGUCCUGUGGUCUCAGGCAAGGUUUUAACUGCUCUGAAUUGUAGUAAAGGUGUUCGUGAGAUAAAAGUAUUUACAUGGCAGAGCGAUUGUGGGGACUUAAACAGAAAACAUGCACAAAGUGCCUCAUGUUCUUUGGAUUUUAUAACACUGCUUGUGGCAACAAUAUUGUGAUGUAAAGACUUCAAUCUAAAACUAUCCAGAGAGUUUAUAAUUGAUGAUUGAAUCAUUGUUAUUGCUCUUAGCCAGAGAUAAACUACUAGGAAAAUUUGGGGUCAUUUGCAUCUCCUUUUAUCACAUGACGAUCUAUCAUUUAUUUACUCUGGGCGUGGCCCAAAACAUGCUCCAGAGCCAAUCAAGAAGUGCCUAGAAGCCAAGUGCCAGUUUCUUCCUUUUCUCUCCUUUCUUGCUCGUGUUCAUGAACUGGUUUCUUAAUAUCCUAUCUCCUGUAACUUUCAUUUUCCUCACAGAGGAGAAUAGUCAUAGUCUAAAUCUCUGCCUACUAGAAGUUAUGGGUCAAGUUUUCUCCUAAAAAUGAAUACACCCUUGCUAAGAUGAUUAAUUCUAGCUCUUAAAAGUGAAUAUUAAUCAUCUUGGGAUCAACUUAACAUGCUUUAAAUGAGCUAUUUGGCUUGUUAUUAAUGUGAAAUAAAACAGUGUAAGUUUAGGAACAUAGCAAGAAAUCACCACCUAAGCUUACAUUAUAUAUAUGUGUGUGUGUGUAUAUACAUGCAUAUUUAGCUAGUCAUUAUUUAUUUAUUUACUUCAAUCAAUCAACUUUAUGUUUUAGAGUACUGUUACAUUUACAGAAAAAGUUAUCGGAAAGUACAGAGAGCUCAAAUCUCCUCUUACUUCUGCCCUCAAUUUCCUCCAAAUUAAUGUUUUCAUUAAUGUGAUAGGCAUGUUAUAAUUGAUGAACCAGUGUUGAUGUGUUCCUAUUAGCUAAAGUCCAUAGUUUAUGCUAGAAUUCACUCUGUGUUGUAUAGUUCUUUGAAUUUUAACAAAUGCAUAAAGUCACAUAACUGCCAUUGCAUUAGCACACAGAAUAGUUUCACUGCCCUAAAAUUCCUCUGUGUUCCAACUCUUAGCCCUUCUCUCUGCUCCCCUAACUCCUGACAGCCACUGAUCUUUUUACUGUCUUUAUAAUUUUGCCUUUUCCAGAAUGUUAUGUGGUUGGAAUUGUACAGUAUGCAUCCUCUUCAUACUAGCAGUAUGUUUGUAAGUUUCCUUCAUGUCUUUUCAUGACUUGAUAGCUUACUUCUUUUUGAGACUGAAUGAUAUUCCACUGUAUGGAUAUACUGCAGUUUAUCUAUUCUGACGUCUUAAUUGCUUCCAAUUUUUGGUAACUAUGAAUAAAUUGCUUUCAAUUUUUGGCAAUUCUGUUUGCUAUAAACAUUCAUGUGCAGGUUUUUGUGUGGACAUAGUUUUCAACUCACUUGGGCAAGUACCAAGGAGCAUGAUUGUAGACUCAUAUGGUAAGAGUAUAUUUAGUUUUGUAAAAAACUGCCAAACUGUGUUCUAAAGUGGCUGUGCCGCUUUGUGUUCCCACUAGCAAUGAAUGAGAAUUCUUCUUGCUCUGCAUACUCAGCAGUAUUCAUUAUUGUCAGUGUUUUGGAUUUUAGACAUUUAUUUAGUUAGGUAUACUUAAUUAACUAAUUAAUUAUUAAUUAAUUUUAGUUUUUCAGUAUAGUGUUAAGUGCCAUGAAGGCAUAGAAUUCACUUUGUUUAUUGCUGUAUGCCAAUCUCCUAGAGCAGUAGGUGACAUGUAGUUGAUGCUCAAUAGAUAUUUGUGGAAAGGAGAAAUUAAUGAAUCACAACAAUCAAAAGUGAAUGUCCUUAGGAAUAAUUUCUGGACAGAGAAACUGUUGCUGACAGGGUCAUUACUCUCUUAAGAAUGAAUAGUAAAUGUCAUAUAUGUUUGUAAUAAAUAAUGAUAAAUUGGUGUUACAUUUGGACUCAUGAUUGUCUCCAAGUGAGUAAAUCUUCCCAAGUAAAUCACAUCUUGAUUUUAAACAGAUUCAUAUUUAAGUCUUUACAAUAUUGUCCUCAUAACAGGCCAAAAUGUAUUUAUCUUAGCUUAACCACUUUGUAAAAAAAAAAAA
ensembl:lncRNA